CAUACCAUCACUUUUGGGUGUUCAGAUUUCAACAUGAAUGGGGGGGGGGGGUCACAAACAUUCAGGCCAUAGUAUAGAUCCAUAAACAAAUACUCCUAUAAUCUGACAGCAAGAGCCUCCAAAGCAAGAGCAGCAGCUUCAAGUGUGCAGAGACACUCAGUUGUUUGAUUUCAAGCCACCAAGAAUGUUCAAAGGCAGUGCCUGUGCUGAAGAAGCCUAGGAACUCUGAGAUCCAGCCCAGUGAGCUGCGGCCCAGAGAGGUGAGGUCCUGUCCCAGGCCACCCACAUGGGAGAGCCACAAUUACAGCCCGUGUCUGAAUCCCAGCUACAGAAUCCUUUCUACUCUGCAGUUUUGACACAUGGUGCAUUUAGAAAAUUCUAAAGUUGUUGUGGCGGACUGAACCCCACCCCCCGCCACCAAGAUGACCAUGCCCUGAUCCCUGAAACUGUGAAUAUCACUUUUUUUGGCCAAAGGGACUGCAGGCAUGGUUAAAUUAAGGCCCCUGAGAUGAGAACAUUUUCCUGGAUUAUCCAGGUAAGCCCUAAAUGGAAUCACAAGGGUCCCUAUGAGAAGGAGGCAGGAGAGUCAAAUGCAGGAGAGUCUCUGUGACCAUGAAAGCAGAGACUGGAGUCAUGUAGGCAGGAGCCAAGGAAUGUGUGUUGCUUCUAGAAGAAGCUGGAAAAGGCAAGAUUAUCCCUUCUUGUCACCAGGAAUGAAAAGUUGUAUGUCUGUGGCCUGGGUCUGAACUCCCUAGUGUCACCAUGGGCUCACAAUGAGGGAAACCAUGAAAGGGGUUUCUAACAGAAGUAGGUGUUUGUGCCCCAAACUCACAACUUCCAGAAAACAAUGAGCCAGAGCAAGGAGCCGAUAUGGUUUAGGGGAAGUGUCACUGAGAAGACCAUGGACAUGUGACAAUGCAAAUGGGUGUAUCAGCAGUGAGGCCCACGUGUGGGAUUCCCUGGGCUUUCUCUGUGGAUAGUGGGCAGACCCAGCUGCUAUGCACUUCACAUAGCCCAGGCUGACAGCCACCCAGGGGGACUCCUGAGAUCAGGGAGCAAGCUGUGCCAGACCCCAGGUGAGAAGGAAUGUGGUUGGGUCAGCUGCUGCAGGCAAGGACCCCUCAGCAAGCCAGGCAGGAGAGAUCAGUGAGGCAGAAGGGAGCCCCCACACACUUCCUGAGCAGCUGCCCCAGGAGACAUCUGUCUGCCUUGAUUUAAACCUCAAAAAUCAAAAUAUCGAUAAACAAAUACAGACUGAGACAGAGCUGGCUGAGACAGAGACCAGGGAAGAGGUGCUGACAGGUUUUGGGUUAUCUUGUUUUUUGUUUCUUACCAGUAUGUUCUUUGGUACCAAUACCACACACGUAUCUUUUAGCAAGUGUAUGCAGCAAGCCCAGCACAUGGUCUAGGAGCUGGGGCCACUCAAGGGAGCAAAACUUGCAAACUCCCUGCCCUGGUGGGGUGCUGGCAGCUAAGGGCUGAGUUCAAACCCAGGUCAGCUCUAUCCCAAGGUCUGUGCUCACUUCACUGCCCUCCAGGCUGGGCCAGAGAGCAGUGUAAGGGCCCAAGGAGCAGAUUUUGUAAGAAGAUUGCAGUCCAAAUACAAAAGGCCCUUCUUCCAAAAAGGGGGAAGGGAGGAGGAAUCUGGGUUCUGACCCAGACCCUGAUGUCCAGGGGCACAGGGAGCUCCCACCACCCUGAGAGAAAGUGCUUCAUCAUCUCAGGCUUGAGCUGGAAAAGGUGACCAGAGACUGAGGAGAGUGGCCAGCAAGUUUCAGCCCCCACCCUGGUGGUCUGUCCUACUCAGUCAGGUACAGGAAGGUAUCUCACCUGGGCAGUGAGAACACUUCUGCCCGCUCCAGGGCAACUGCUGGCUGUGCUCCUCCCCGAGGAUCUGGCCCUGCCAAGCUCAGCCCCAUUUCUUACCAGUGGCCAGGGAAAAUGGGACCAGGCCUGCUGUGCAAGCUGAUGACGGGCCACACCUUUCAUGCCAAAGCCCCUCCUAGAAGGAAACAAGUUCUGGGACUUUAAGCCUCGGAGGCCAGAGGAGAAACAAAGCUCCCAAAGGAGAUAUGAAGCCUCAGGAUGACCCCAUGCCCCAACCAACAGCAAGCACAGCUGGGCUUGCAUUCCACACCUGGGGAAACUGAGACACAAGGAAGGAGCUGGGCCUAAGAGCUGUGUUCUGAGCCCUGGAAUGAGAAAACGGAAAUCGGGAGGCUAAAACUGAUCCUAUCAGGUGGGCCCCAGGAAACUGUCUCCCCGGCAAGUUAUGUGCAGACACUGGGCCCCCUGCCCAAUCCAGUUAUGGACUAAUGGUCCCCAGGACACUGCAAUUUAGGGAAGGAAGGAGGGGUUUCCUUCCUGAAUCCUAGGAAAAAAGAAACAACAAUAAUGGCCCAAAUGUUGAAGGCAAAAUAGCUUCCUCCUAGAAGGAAUGGUUUUAAGAAUCAUAGAAAGAAACAAAGACACACAGGCUGAUACACUCCUGGACAGACCUAGGAGCAGCCAGAACCCUGCUGGAGACACAUGCCAGGAAAGAUGCCACUUCCCUGACUUCUGAGAAUGCCCCCAGCACCCCAGAAGGGAUCCCUCCAUGUACUGGGCUAAUUUCAAGGCUCAACGGUUGAAUGUUGUGAGGCCCAGUGGUCACACUGCAUAUACCCAGGCCAGCAUCAGGCUCAGGACUGAGAAGGAGCCUGCCACCCACCCAGUAAGCCUGGCCCCCCAAGCCUGAAGGCCACCUGAUUACAUGCAUGCGUCAGCACGGUCCCUGGGUCUGUGUUUUAAACAGUGCUGCAGGGGGUUCUGACAUCCAUCACACCCAUCUGUGAGCUUGAGUAAACCCCAGGACAGAGUCCCACCCUGGCGUGAGCAUAUUCUAUGGACGGCCCACUUGGCACAGCUGCUUUCUUGCCCAUGAGAACAUGGUCACUGUGAAGUUCACCCUGGAAGGCCAAAAGUCCUCCCCUCAGAGCAGGGGCACGAGGACAAAGCCCUGGGAUGCCUGGCCAUGCUGCACUGCAGAACCUGGGAUAGAGGAAGAGUAACUGACAAAUGCCAUUCUCCCACCUCUUAUCCUGGGAAGUCAGCUCCAUGGGGACUAAUGAUCCAGAAGAUGUAGUAAUGGAUGAAACUCCACUUGAGGUCCUAGGCCUGAGUCUGAUGCCACCUUGUACCCCUGCGUCCACAGACCCAAACAGUGGGCACUGGGUUCAUUCAGAAGUUCCCUGGAGUUCCAAGAGUGUGUCAUCCAUGGACCUAGAGCAGGGAAGUGCUGAGGCACGAGAUGAGACACCUCUAAAAGGGGAGCAUGGGACGGUUUCAUCAGGAAAUCUAGUGUCCCAAACCACCUGCUUCCUGAUCCAGUUGGGCUCUCCUGUUAACUGACAUGAGAUGUUCUUUUUCAACAAAAAUGUUUUUUUAAUUAA